UACGGGAGGCAGCAGUGGGGAAUAUUGCACAAUGGGGGAAACCCUGAUGCAGCGACGCCGCGUGGAGGAAGAAGGUCUUCGGAUUGUAAACUCCUGUUGUUGAGGAAGAUAAUGACGGUACUCAACAAGGAAGUGACGGCUAACUACGUGCCAGCAGCCGCGGUAAAACGUAGGUCACAAGCGUUGUCCGGAAUUACUGGGUGUAAAGGGAGCGCAGGCGGGCGAUCAAGUUGGAAGUGAAAUCCAUGGGCUCAACCCAUGAACUGCUUUCAAAACUGAUUGUCUUGAGUAGUGCAGAGGUAGGCGGAAUUCCCGGUGUAGCGGUGGAAUGCGUAGAUAUCGGGAGGAACACCAGUGGCGAAGGCGGCCUACUGGGCACCAACUGACGCUGAGGCUCGAAAGUGUGGGUAGCAAACAGGAUUAGAUACCCUGGUAGUCCACACCGUAAACGAUGAUUACUAGGUGUUGGAGGAUUGACCCCUUCAGUGCCGCAGUUAACACAAUAAGUAAUCCACCUGGGGAGUACGACCGCAAGGUUGAAACUCAAAGAA
rnacentral:rRNA from 1 species